AGUUAUCCAAUGAAAUGACAUAGUCCAAGUACCAUCUUGUAAUUUAUGUAGCCACUUUAUUUAAUAUCACGAUAAACCACCUAGUGAUAGUUUGAUUUAAUUAUUACAUGGUAAUAAUUAACAAUCAUUAGCUGGUGGUCGAUUUAGUUAUUACAUACUAAUAACCAUCAUCAGUCGGGCUUGAUGGCUGAUGUUAAUAUGAAAGUUACAUAUUAAUGAGAACACCAUAGACGACUAAACCUUUCUUGGAAGUC
rnacentral:lncRNA from 1 species